GACGAAGGUGGCAAGCGUUAUUCGGAUUUACUGGGCAUAAAGCGCGCGUAGGCGGCUUGGCAAGUCGGGGGUGAAAGCCCGCAGCUCAACUGCGGAACUGCCUUCGAUACUGCCGGGCUUGAGGGCGGGAGGGGUGAUUGGAACUCCAGGUGUAGCGGUGAAAUGCGUAGAUAUCUGGAGGAACACCGGAGGCGAAGGCGAAUCACUGGACCGCAUCUGACGCUGAGGCGCGAAAGCUAGGGGAGCAAACAGG
rnacentral:rRNA from 2 species